rnacentral:misc_RNA from 1 species
GGAAAUCCAGCGUGGGAUA